GGAAACUGCCUGCAAAUUCAGGUAGCUUUUUUGAUUCUUACUUUCAGAGAAAUGCCAGCAAAAGCUCUAGUCAUUUGGGGAAGAACAAGCCUGGAAGAAAAGUACACAGCAGACCAGCACCAAGAGGAUGAAUAGGAUGUGUGCCCAAGAUCACAGCUAAAAAGAACAAAGCCGCGAUUGAAACUUAGUUGAUGUCAUAUCAGAGCCUACAUUCUUUCUUCUGACCCUGAGGGCUCACCGUCUGCAGCUUCCUGGCGAUAGCAGUGGAGUCCUGCUGCUGCUCAGUGGCAGUCGAUACUGUUUACCACCCAUUCAAUGAACACACAAACUCAAGUGGAGAGGAAAGGCAUGCUGGUACCAAGAAGACAGUCAGACCACAGCCAGCAAACACCCAUUGGCUAUGGUUUCCUCCACCAAUGGUACCAUGUAGCCAAAAUGAGAAGCUAAUGCUUGUGACAGGUGUAGCAAAGAGAGAAGAGGAACAGCUUCAAUGGCCCCAGAGGAGUUCAGAGCAGAGAACAGAGCAGCAUUCUUUGGAACCAAGUUCUCCCAUAGAUCACCACAGCAUUGGAAUCCCACCACCUGUUGUUAAAGUCUGCUCGAGCAAUAGAAUCUCUCAGCAAAGAAGAGUGGUCUGCACCCAUCAGCAUCUGCUGAGACAGCAGAGGAGAGCAGUAUCAAUGGUCUAUCAGUUUGGAAUGCUGACU